rnacentral:rRNA from 1 species
AACGAACGCUGGCGGCAUGCCUAACACAUGCCAGUCGAACGAGACCUUCGGGUCUAGUGGCGCACGGGUGCGUAACGCGUGGGAACCUGCCCUUAGGUUCGGAAUAACUCCCCGAAAGGGGUGCUAAUACCGGAUAAUGUCUUCGGACCAAAGAUUUAUCGCCUUUGGAUGGGCCCGAGUUGGCUUAGCUGGUUGGUAGGGUAAAAGCCUACCAAGGCGACGAUCCAUAGCUGGUCUGAGAGGAUGAUCAGCCACACUGGGACUGAGACACGGCCCAGAAUCCUACGCGAGGCAGCAGUGGGGAAUAUUGGACAAUGGGCGAAGGCCUGAUCCAGCAAUGCCGGGUGAGUGAUGAAGGCCUUAGGGUUGUAAAGCUCUUUUACCCGGGAUGAUAAUGACAGUACCGGGAGAAUAAGCUCCGGCUAACUCCGUG